rnacentral:guide_RNA from 1 species
UACAACACAAACGAUAAGAUAGAAUUAAGUGAAGAUAUAGAUUAU